CAGAAUUGAAUCUAAGAAGAAAAAUAAAAGUGUUUCUUCAAGGAUACAGAUGUGCCUCAGGAACCUAGCUCUAGAACUACUAGGGGUGGGGACAAGUCAGUUGCAACAACCCUCCGGAAGGACAGAGGAUUCCAUGCUCUUCAAGGGUUCCAUCCCUGGUUGUUUCUCACUGAAAUCAAAGAAAGUUCUGAAUCUAAUCCCAUGUCAACAGAGAUCACUUAAAAACAGACUGAUCUGGUACCUGAAGAUAAUAAACAAGAAGGCAUAAGCAAGGUAUUUAAAUUACCUUUUACUCUAGUAAAAACACAGUCUCCAAACCUUAAAUUGGUCAUGUUCCAAAUGUUUAAGUAUUUAAAUUUACAAUGCAUUUUUCUAUAAAGGUAAUAAGUAAGAUUUUCAAGGCUAGCAGCUCAUGAAAGCAGACUUAAAUCCAUAAAGCUACCCAAAAUGUGGUACCAGA
rnacentral:lncRNA from 10 species